rnacentral:pre_miRNA from 1 species
UAUCUGUUCAUUUUUCGUUUUUCCGUGUCCAACGUUUGACCAUUCGUCUUAUUUAAAAAUUUUAUUUAAAAACUUUUAAAAAAUAGUCACGUAUAAAGUACUAUUCAUAUUUUAUCAUCUAGUAAUAAUAAAAAUAUUAAUCGCAAAAAAAUUUUAAAUAAGACAAAUGGUCAAACGUUGGACAUGGAAAAAC